rnacentral:rRNA from 1 species
UGUUUGUUCUUUCAAGAGUGGCGACGGGUGAGUCCACGUGGAUAACCUGCCUCAGGCUGGGGAUAACAUUUGGAAACAGAUGCUAAUACCGAAUAAUACUUACUAUCGCAUGAUACAACGUUGAAAGGCCCUACCCCCUCACCUAAAGAUGGGCCCGCGGUGCUUUAGUUAGUGGGGGGGGUAAAGGUCUACAAAGACAAUGAUGCUUAACCAAGUUGAAAGAUUGAUCGGUCACAUUGGAACUGAGACCCGGCCCCAUCUCCUACGGGAGGCUGCAGAAGGGAAUCUUCCCCAAUGGGCGAAAGCCUGAUGGACAACGCCGCGUGUGUGAUGAAGGCUUUAUGGUCGUAAAGCACUGUUGAAUGGAAAAAAAUGCUAGAAUAGGGAAUGAUUCUAGUUCGACGGUACCAUACCAGAAAGGGACGGCUAACUACCUGCCACCAUCCGCGGUAAUACUCAUGUCCCGAGCGUUAUCCGGAUUUAUUGGGCGUCAAGCGAGCGCAAAUGGUUGAUUAAGUCUGAUGUGAAAGCCCCGAGCUCAACUCCUGAAUGGCUUUGUAAAUUGGUUAAUUUGAGUGUUGUAAAGGUAAUGGAAACUCCUUGU